UCUCGCAUUCGGGUUUUGCUUUAAAAUUUCAUUACCGAUUGCGUGCAACAAGUGCGUUUUACCAAGACCUGUUCCGCCAUA
rnacentral:antisense_RNA from 1 species